UCCACAGCAACUUUCAAUCUUAGUGAGAAAACCAAAAAAAAAAAAGAACGAAGAUUUAUCUUUCUAUCUUCUCCAACUCGAAGCAGCAUCCAUGCCAUGGUUCUGAGACCCUGCUCAUGUUCGAGUACCGAAAAAAGAGGGGCUCAAACCCUAGAAACAAAAAAUCUCAGAAGAAUUAAUGAAUCGAACCCCUUUUGUGUGCUCUUGGUUUCAGUUUCAAUUUGAUAGUGUUGAUUAGAAUGAUUGAAUUUUGUUUCUUUGAUCGACUUCACUUUCGUCAGAACUCUUCCGGUAAUAUCAAAUACAAUCUCUCUGCACUGGAUCAUUUUUUCGAACAGAAAUGACAAUGUCAGCGUGUUUCCUCAACUCAUCCUUUUUGUUCCUUGGAAUUUCAAUCUAUAGCAAGUUGUGGAUUUCUUUGAGUCAGGGAAGUUGGUGCAUAUUCGAUUCUCUUUUUAUUUCAAAGUUAGGAUUUGUAUCGUUUUUAUUUAAUUUUGUGUUUGAUUUGUUUCUGAUUUUUUUGUUUGUGUCAAACUAACAUCCUACAGGGGUUUCUCUUUGUUUUGUUUAUGAAUUUUACACAAUUUAGCUCUUUCUGAAUACCGACUUGGGGUUUUGAUCGAACCUUUUUUUUUUGAGAUCUAACUUUUUUGUUAAGUCUGUAUAACUGUAGAUUCUGCAAUUUCAAUGGAGAGCUCAUUAAUGACAAGUAUUUCAGGAUUAUACAACCUAAAUAUUGAAAUGUACUACAUACUUUCAGUUCUUUGCGGUAAUACAAACAGAUUCGAACAUAUAUAUUCUUUUUGUCGAUUUAAGAAAUUAUAUUUAGUUUCACAUGGUUUGCUGAAUACUAAUAAUGCACAAUUGCUACAACCGAAGGGAGAAAAUGCAUAUAAUAUUGUGAUUCAUAAUACAGUUUCACCGUCAGGAAUCUGCUCCAGGAAUUCUUUGUAUGUGUAACUUUAUACCAUUUAAGGACUCUCUUAUGGCUUUCAUUUCUCAUUUUCUACGUACCAAUUGAAAGCGUUAGCUUUUACAUUGCAAUAAAUUAGUUAAGGUAUCCACAAUCUUUUGUUUACAAUUUCAUAUACGCAUAUUGACUAUUGUUCUCCUGGAACAGUUUUCCAAAUGCAGCAAUAUGAUGCUCUCAGACCACUUGAAAUUUAUAAGAGGGCAGUGAAUCAGGUAAGUACCUUUUGCUGAUGAGAUUGCAACCUAAUAUUUGAGAAAUGUUUCACGAGUCAAAAAAUGUUGUGGACAUUUAUUUUUUUGUUUUCAUUUUGUAGAUCGUGCACACUAGGUUUUCGUUUUAUCUUAUUUUAUCUUAUUGAUACUAAUAAUUGAGACAAAGUCAAACCACGUUGGGAUUUCAGCAGACGAUCAAUGAAUAUGGCAUUGAGCCGUCAUCAACUUAAUUCAUGAUAACUAAAAACAUAGUAGUCUUUCGGAUGAACUAGAGCUAUAAAAAUUUAGGUGUUGAUUUGGUAAAUAGCUAGAUUGAUUAAAGCUUUGGUGAAUUCUCUAUGUUUCUGUUUCGUUCUUGCAGAGAUCUUUUUUUCUUUUCUUAAAAGCAGAUUAUGGGUUUUUUAGAGAACUGCAAAUAUACAUGGUAUACAAGAGGGAAAUGCUUGGAAAAAAAUCGAGGAAAACUGUAAAAAAAAUUAACAAGUAUCAAUUCCACCCAUGACGUUACAAGUGAGAAGGCUUUUCAGGAUUGACGCUUUGGUGUUUUUCCUUUGUCUUGAUGUCACUUUACUCUUGGACCUAGGUAGAGGGCUUUACACCCAUGGUGUACUACAAAGCACAGUUUAGUUAAGUUUGCCUAUGUAAGUGGUGGUCAGGAUUUGUCUUUGGCAAAGAUAAGUCCAUGGCCGUGGUUGUCCAGACCGCACCCAUUUUCGCACAUGUGCCUUAGCUUUUAGGGAGAAGAAUGAGUAACCAUGGGCGCUCGAUCGUUCUCUACAGCUGCCCCAAAUCCUCUACCUUCGAAUUCUUCGUCUUCCUGCCUUACAUCUUGAAAUGUGGAACACGCAGGUUCCAUUUUGUUAGUCAUGCGGAUGUUCACCACGAUUUUGAUCUUUGGUUUAGUUCUCAACUCAAUAAGAAUUUCAAAACUCAAGUUAGUUCUCAGAUCCUUCGGUACUACAAAACUCAAAUUACGGCAAAAAUUGGGAAGGAGAAGAGAGGUAGAAAGAGAACUAAGAGGCGAAACUAUUUGGUUCGUCUUCCGAACACUUCAGAAAACCAGGAAAUGGAAAAUGAUCAGAUAUUUCUGGUCAAUCUGAUUUCUCUAACUGCUUUAAGAGUUUUAAAGUCGAAUAAUUUUAGUAAUGGAGCAUUUAGAAAAGUAUAACCAGUGGGAGGUACAAGGUGAUAGAAAAGGAGCCUGCCAAAAAAAAAUAUAUAUGAGAAAGCCAUAUGGAUUUGAUGGUGGUAAAUCUGAGAGAGGAAACUUACUUAAAAGGGUAGGCAUGCGAGUGGCAAACCAUGUUAGAUAUGUCAAAAAUCAACUUUAUUGGUCUAUUUCAUAAAUUCUCAUACAGGGAAAACAAUUUUGCUGGAUAAGUAUACGGUUUACCAUUAUACGAGUGGCAGACCAUGUUUGGAUAACUUAGGUUAUAUAAAGAGCAGUCUAGAUUUUUUUUAUUUUAUUUUUUAUUUUUUUGUAGAAGAUAAAUUAAUGGCUGUGGUUGACUCCAUGAAAUACAUUUUACACCCAUAUUUUUACGGACUUGCCUUAUAAUUUCUGACACCUUCAUUUUCGAUGGACGAAUAUGAAUGCGUUUCCUUUAUUGAGUUUUUGGAUGUUCUUCCCUGCUAACUAGAUCAACCUCUGUCACUUCUCCCCGGCAUUUUUAGAUUAAAUUUUCUCUUUCUCUGGAUUCGUCAUAGACCCAAAUGUGUGCAAGUAAUCUAUCUCUAUCUUCUCUCUUUCUGUACUGAUCUUUAUUACGAUAAAAUAAGACUGAUAUUUGGGUUAGAUUUUGGGAGAAUUCAUAGUGUCUUCA